rnacentral:rRNA from 1 species
GGAUCUGGCUUAUGGAGGGGGAUAACGACGGGAAACUGUCGCUAAUACCGCGUAAUGUCUAAGGACUAGAGGGUGGGACUUUCGGGCCACCUGCCAUAAGAUGAGCCCAAGUGGGAUUAGGUAGUUGGUGGGGUAAAGGCCUACCAAGCCGACGAUCUCUAGCUGGUCUGAGAGGAUGACCAGCCACACUGGAACUGAGACACGGUCCAGACUCCUACGGGAGGCAGCAGUGGGGAAUAUUGCACAAUGGGGGGAACCCUGAUGCAGCCAUGCCGCGUGGAUGAAGAAGGCCUUCGGGUUGUAAAGUUCUUUCGGUGAUGAGGAAGGGUGAUGUUUUAAUAGAGCAUUACAUUGACGUUAGUCACAGAAGAAGCACCGGCUAACUCCGUGCCAGCAGCCGCUGUAAUACGGAGGGUGCGAGCGUUAAUCGGAAUGACUGUUCGUAAAGGGCACCCACGCGGUGACUUAAGUGAGAUGUGAAAGCCC